AGUGAACGCUGGCGGUAGGCCUAACACAUGCAAGUCGAACGGCAGCACAGUAAGAGCUUGCUCUUACGAGUGGCGAGUGGCGGACGGGUGAGGAAUACAUCGGAAUCUACUUUUUCGUGGGGGAUAACGUAGGGAAACUUACGCUAAUACCGCAUACGACCUACGGGUGAAAGCAGGGGAUCUUCGGACCUUGCGCGAUUGAAUGAGCCGAUGUCGGAUUAGCUAGUUGGCGGGGUAAAGGCCCACCAAGGCGACGAUCCGUAGCUGGUCUGAGAGGAUGAUCAGCCACACUGGAACUGAGACACGGUACAGACUCCUACGGGAGGCAGCAGUGGGGAAUAUUGGACAAUGGGCGCAAGACUGAUCCAGCCAUACCGCGUGGGUGAAGAAGGCCUUCGGGUUGUAAAGCCCUUUUGUUGGGAAAGAAAAGCAGCAGGUUAAUACCCCGCUGUUCUGACGGUACCCAAAGAAUAAGCACCGGCUAACUUCGUG
rnacentral:rRNA from 1 species